CUUGCGUAUUAAAAAUUAUCAGAGAAAAAGGAGGGGAAGCAGGGCCAGAAGUGCAUCCCCAUUUGUUAAGUAAAGUUGCAUCUUUGGUUCUAUCAGUAAUGAGAACCUUUCCAGAAAGGCAUCGGCUUUUGUUGAUCUGUAUGGUAAUUUUGUG